rnacentral:rRNA from 1 species
AACGAACGCUGGCGGCGUGCCUAACACAUGCAAGUCGAGCGCGAAAGGAGCAAUCCGAGUAGAGCGGCGCACGGGUGCGUAACACGUGGGUAAUCUGCCUCAGGGUUGAGGAUAACCUUCCGAAAGGUUGGCUAAUACUCGGUAAGCUUACGGUGACUUCGGUCGCUGUGAGAAAACUAGACCUCUAUUUAUAAGUUUAGGCCCAGAGGUGAGCCCGCGGCCCAUCAGCUAGUUGGCGGGGUAACGGCCCACCAAGGCAACGACGGGUAGCUGGUCUGAGAGGACGAUCAGCCACACUGGAACUGAGACACGGUCCAGACUCCUACGGGAGGCAGCAGUGGGGAAUUUUCCACAAUGGGCGAAAGCCUGAUGGAGCAACGCCGCGUGUGUGAUGAAGGUCUUCGGAUCGUAAAGCACUUUCGACCGGGACGAAAAACCUCUGGCUAACAUCCAGGGGCCUGACGGUACCAGGGGAAGAAGCACCGGCUAACUCUGUGCCAGCCGCCGCGGUAAUAC